CCUGCUAUUCCUUUCUGUUUCCUUAUUUGUUAAAACUCCUGUAUCUCUGUAGGGUGCAGUGAAGCAAGGAAGAAAGCUGCUCAACUUCUCUGAAGCUUUUAGGUGUUUAGAAGACACUUAAAAGAUAUAUUUAGUGUUUCAUUUGAAAUUUAUUAUUUUCCUGCUGAAAUUAACUCAGGAAUGUCAGGAAACUCUUCAGUAAAAACAGAAGCAAAACUAGAGGAAAAUACCAAGUCCUUUCAGAAUAAACCUGCUACAGAAAAAAAAGUGCUUCAGACUGGCCCUGGUAAAUUCUUCG